UACAGAGGUCUCAAGCGUUAUUCGGAAUUAUUGGGCGUAAAGGGCGCGUAGGCGGCUUGGCAAGUGGAUGGUGAAAUCCCUCGGCUUAACCGAGGAACUGCCGUCCAAACUGCUUUGCUUGAGACCGGGAGAGGUGAGUGGAAUUCCCAGUGUAGCGGUGAAAUGCGUAGAUAUUGGGAGGAACACCAGUGGCGAAGGCGGCUCACUGGACCGGUACUGACGCUGAGGCGCGAAAGCGUGGGGAGCAAACGGG
rnacentral:rRNA from 1 species